rnacentral:rRNA from 1 species
GACGAACGCUGGCGGCGUGCUUAACACAUGCAAGUCACGGGGGCCCGCAAGGGCAACCGGCGAACGGGUGCGUAACACGUGAGCAAGCUUCCGAUUAGUGGGGGAUAGCCGGCCCAACGGCCGGGUAAUACCGCAUACGUUCACUGGACGGCAUCGUCUGGUGAGGAAACCUCCGGGGCUAAUCGAGGCGCUCGCGGCCUAUCAGCUAGUUGGCGGGGUAACGGCCCACCAAGGCUAUGACGGGUAGCUGGUCUGAGAGGAUGGCCAGCCACAUUGGGACUGCGACACGGCCCAGACUCCUACGGGAGGCAGCAGUGGGGAAUAUUGCGCAAUGGACGAAAGGCUGACGCAGCGACGCCGCGUGUGGGAGGACGCCUUUCGGGGUGUAAACCACUGUUGCCCGGGACGAACGGCUCGAUUCGUCGAGCGUGACGGUACCGGGUGAGGAAGCACCGGCUAACUCCGUGCCAGCAGCCGCCGUAAUAC